rnacentral:rRNA from 1 species
UUGAGCAAGAGAAGGGCAUCUGGUGGAUGCCUUGGCGCUAGAAGGCGACGAAGGACGUGGCACGCUGCGAAAAUCUUGGGGGAGCCGCGAGCAGGCUUUGAUCCCGAGGUAUCCGAAUGGGGCAACCCCCCUCUUUGAGGGAUCAUGCACUGAAUACAUAGGUGUAUGAGGCAAACCCGGGGAACUGAAACAUCUCAGUACCUGGAGGAAAAGACAUCAACCGAGAUUCCGGCAGUAGUGGCGAGCGAACCCGGAGUAGGCCAGUAGUUACUUGUGUGUGAGUCGAAGCACCCCGAUGAGGGGAGUGAAAUAGACCUGAAACCUGAUGCCUACAAGCAGUCGGAGCUCUUGAUGGAGUGACGGCGUACCUUUUGUAUAAUGGGUCAGCGAGUUUCUGUUGGCAGCGAGCUUAAGCCGUUAGGUGUAGGCGCAGCGAAAGCGAGUCUGAAUAGGGCGCAUAGUUGCCGGCAGAAGACCCGAAACCGAGUGAUCUAGCCAUGGCCAGGCUGAAGGUGGGGUAACACCUACUGGAGGGCCGAACCCACGCCUGUUGAAAAAGUCGGGGAUGAGCUGUGGCUAGGGGUG